rnacentral:rRNA from 1 species
AGUAAAAGUCGUAACAAGGUCUCCGUUGGUGAACCAGCGGAGGGAUCAUUACAGAGUUAUCCAACUCCCAAACCCAUGUGAACUUAUCUCUUUGUUGCCUCGGCGCAAGCUACCCGGGACCUCGCGCCCCGGGGGGCCCGCCGGCGGACAAACCAAACUCUGUUAUCUUCGUUGAUUAUCUGAGUGUCUUAUUUAAUAAGUCAAAACUUUCAACAACGGAUCUCUUGGUUCUGGCAUCGAUGAAGAACGCAGCGAAAUGCGAUAAGUAAUGUGAAUUGCAGAAUUCAGUGAAUCAUCGAAUCUUUGAACGCACAUUGCGCCCAUUAGUAUUGUAGUGGGCAUGCCUGUUCGAGCGUCAUUUCAACCCCUAAGCACAGCUUAUUGUUGGGACUCUACGGCUUCGUAGUUCCCCAAAGACAUUGGCGGAGUGGCAGCAGUCCUCUGAGCGUAGUAAUUCUUUAUCUCGCUUUUGUUAGGCGCUGCCCCCCCGGCCGUAAAACCCCCAAUUUUUUCUGGUUGACCUCGGAUCAGGUAGGAAUACCCGCUGAACUUAAGCAUAUCAAUAAGCGGAGGA